rnacentral:rRNA from 1 species
GAUGAACGCUAGCUACGGGCUUAACACAUGCAAGUCGAGGGGCAGCAUUUCAGUUUGCUUGCAAACUGGAGAUGGCGACCGGCGCACGGGUGAGUAACACGUAUCCAACCUGCCGAUAACUCGGGGAUAGCCUUUCGAAAGAAAGAUUAAUACCCGAUGGUAUAAUCAGACCGCAUGGUCUUGUUAUUAAAGAAUUUCGGUUAUCGAUGGGGAUGCGUUCCAUUAGGCAGUUGGUGAGGUAACGGCUCACCAAACCUUCGAUGGAUAGGGGUUCUGAGAGGAAGGUCCCCCACAUUGGAACUGAGACACGGUCCAAACUCCUACGGGAGGCAGCAGUGAGGAAUAUUGGUCAAUGGGCGCAGGCCUGAACCAGCCAAGUAGCGUGAAGGAUGACUGCCCUAUGGGUUGUAAACUUCUUUUAUAUGGGAAUAAAGUUUUCCACGUGUGGAAUUUUGUAUGUACCAUAUGAAUAAGGAUCGGCUAACUCCGUGCCAGCAGCCGCGGUAAUACGGAGGAUCCGAGCGUUAUCCGGAUUUAUUGGGUUUAAAGGGAGCGUAGGUGGACAGUCAAGUCAGUUGUGAAAGUUUGCGGCUCAACCGUAAAAUUGCAGUUGAUACUGGCUGUCUUGAGUACAGUAGAGGUGGGCGGAAUUCGUGGUGUAGCGGUGAAAUGCUUAGAUAUCACGAAGAACUCCGAUUGCGAAGGCAGCUCACUGGACUGCAACUGACACUGAUGCUCGAAAGUGUGGGUAUCAAACAGGAUUAGAUACCCUGGUAGUCCACACAGUAAACGAUGAAUACUCGCUGUUUGCGAUAUACAGUAAGCGGCCAAGCGAAAGCAUUAAGUAUUCCACCUGGGGAGUACGCCGGCAACGGUGAAACUCAAAGGAAUUGACGGGGGCCCGCACAAGCGGAGGAACAUGUGGUUUAAUUCGAUGAUACGCGAGGAACCUUACCCGGGCUUAAAUUGCAUUUGAAUAUAUUGGAAACAGUAUAGCCGUAAGGCAAAUGUGAAGGUGCUGCAUGGUUGUCGUCAGCUCGUGCCGUGAGGUGUCGGCUUAAGUGCCAUAACGAGCGCAACCCUUAUCUUUAGUUACUAACAGGUCAUGCUGAGGACUCUAGAGAGACUGCCGUCGUAAGAUGUGAGGAAGGUGGGGAUGACGUCAAAUCAGCACGGCCCUUACGUCCGGGGCUACACACGUGUUACAAUGGGGGGUACAGAAGGCAGCUACCUGGUGACAGGAUGCUAAUCCCAAAAGCCUCUCUCAGUUCGGAUCGAAGUCUGCAACCCGACUUCGUGAAGCUGGAUUCGCUAGUAAUCGCGCAUCAGCCAUGGCGCGGUGAAUACGUUCCCGGGCCU